GACAGAGGCCCCAAGCGUUAGGCGGAAUCACUGGGCUUAAAGCGUGUGUAGGCGGAUCGUUAAGUGUCUUGUGAAAUCCCACGGCUCACCCGUGGAACUGCUGGGCAUACUGGCGAUCUUGGGCCAACUAGGGGCAGCCAGAACAAGCGGUGGAGCGGUGAAAUGCGUAGAUAUCGCUUGGAACGCCGAAGGUGAAAACAGGCUGCUGGGGUUGCGCCGACGCUGAGACACGAAAGCCAGGGGAGCAAACGGG
rnacentral:rRNA from 1 species